rnacentral:rRNA from 1 species
UGGGGAAUAUUGCACAAUGGGCGAAAGCCUGAUGCAGCGACGCCGCGUGAGGGAUGACGGCCUUCGGGUUUUAACCUCUUUCAGUAGGGACGAAGCGCAAAGGACGGUACCUGCAGAAGAAGGACCGGCUAACUACGUGCCAGCAGCCGCGGUAAUACGUAGGGUGCGGACGUUGUCCGGAAUUACUGGGCGUAAAGAGCUCGUAGGCGGUUUGUCACGUCGUCUGUGAAAUCCUAGGGCUUAACCCUGGACGUGCAGGCGAUACGGGCUGACUUGAGUACUACAGGGGAGACUGGAAUUUCUGGUGUAGCGGUGGAAUGCACAGAUAUCAGGAAGAACACCGAUGGCGAAGGCAGGUCUCUGGGUAGUAACUGACGCUGAGGAGCGAAAGCAUGGGUAGCGAACAGG